AGUGCCAUGGCCACAGCUGUCACAGGGGUUACACAGCUCCAAAAUGAGCCCAGAAGUGGAGGAACAGUCACUCCCUGCUCCAACCCACUGCUCCUGGGAAUGUUGGGGGUCCCUGCCCAGUCUGAGCAUCUUUUCCUGUGCCAUGGAUGUGGGGGAGUUCUGACAAUCUCAGACACGGCUGGAGAGAGAGAUGGAAGUCUUCCAGCAGAGCUGUUGUUUGGUGUCUCUCAUGACGUUGAUUUUCGGUCCUUCUAGAGCCCAGAAUUACUUUGAUUUUCAGUUCUUCAAGAGCCCAGGUUCUUUCCAGUCUGGACAAACAUUGCUGAGAUAACCUGACUGUUACAAAGGUAAAACCGGGGAGGCUCAAGCACCAAUCACUUUGCAAACCCUCUGUGAACCCCACACAUUUCCCCAGGACAGCUGCACCUCCCAGCCCCGUUUGUCCUCUCAUCAGAGAGAUCUGAAGGAGGAGGAGGAGUAGCAGCAGAGGAUGUGAGGAGCAGAGUCAUGGCUGGAUAACAUCUCCCCAGGCUACAAUCCACAUCAAGCACAAACCAGGAUUGAUGAAGUGCUGAGGCAGCACUGACCACCACUGAUCUGCCUGGAGGGAAAACUGCUCAUCGUGGUUGGAGGCAGCACCAUCUGUGCCACCCUGAUGGAUGGUGGCCCUUGGACACAGCUCCUGCUGGGAAGGGGCUGAGCUGGCUCUGGCCUUGGCACAGCUUCCUCCUGGAGUUUCUCUGCCCCCUUUAGUGCCAGUCACCGUCUGACCCCAAACUGGACCUUCUCUAGGAUGCAGCCUGUGGGACAAAUGUUUUCAGGUGUGAUGAGGACCUGAAAAAAGGGCAUGGAAAAGUUUUUAUGAUAUCAGAAUCUAUGACUCCUUAUGUUAAUAAAUCUCAAUAGAAAAUGGUGAAAAAGCAGGGCUACACAAAUUCCAAAGCUCCCCAGGCCUGAACAAUCCUCACGAAACCUGCCAAUAGCCAGAAGGGCUCCAGCACACGGGAGACACCUGUGGCUGCUCCCUGAACGCCAGAGCAUCCCUAAAACCUCACAGGUUGCCUCCCUCCCUCCCUCUUUCCAGUGCUCCAGGCUCUCCUCUCUCUGCACGCUCUCCAGACCCACCUGCGGGCUCAGGCUGGGCUCCAGCCCACGCGCUGCUCGCGGGCAUGAGCGAGGCUUUGGGGUGUGCAGAGUGCCCUGCCUGGGCCGUGCUCAGGCCUGCUGCCACGUGGGCUCCCUGGCCAGGGGCCUGGCACGGGGCUUGCAGCAGGAGAUGGCUGUGCUGCUGUUUGUGCUCGCAGCUGAGAGCAGGAGCAGAGCACACGGCCAAGCUGCAGCCCCUCCAGUGGUGUGCAUCGUCCUCCCCCUCUGCUUUGGGGCAGUAAAUCAUUCAGCAUGGAAUAAGAGCUGCUCAAACUCUGAGGAAGAAUGGCUCCCAGAGACAAACCUCACCUGGGAAGCCGCUGGGAAGCACUUCUGAGCUGGCAAGAGUUAGCAAUGGGGAAUGAAGGGGGGUUUGACAGUGCUGAUGCUGCUCCUCAGGAAACAGGGACUCAACGUAAAAGUGAGCAGGGAGAGUUCAUACAUAACCUCCCUCCCCCUGAGGAUCUGUCAUUGCUGUAGCUCUGAGCCACCGUGGAGGGACAGGCAGCACACCCACACACUGACUGAGGAGCACGAUGGGGCCCAGUGCCAGCUCUCCUCCUCCUCCAUCAAUCACCAGGAACAGGGAGACAGAUGUCUCCUGAGGAGUUUGGGAGGUAUCAUCAAGGAGCAGGAUAAAUCAGGUUCCUGAAUAUACAACAGGGCAAUUAUUUACGGAUCAUCAAAUAUUGGCUCUGAAAACCCCAGGCAUCAAACAGCAGCCUGUGCCAGGGGGUGUGUUCGCCUUCUGCCUGCACCUCACAGAGCUGGAGCAAUGGGAUCAGCACCUGCCACGACCCAAACCCAGCACUCCUUUCCAGCUGGAGUCACUGGUGAGGGCAAAGAGCCCUAUUCUGACAUGGUUUUACCACUUUCUCCCUGGGGAAUUGAGCAGGAAAGCACAGUCAGGUUCACCAAGCCUGGCAGGAUAACAUACAGCGGGUAUGGGUACAGACCCACUGGGAUCUGCUGCCUGCAGGGAUGUUGUGUUGUAGCACAUGUGGCUGCCCCAAGCCAAAGAAGGAGGGGUAGGUACAACCUGAUCUCAGCCACUCUCAGCCUCAGGGUUUUGACCUCUGGAAGAACCUGGUUGAGUUUCUGGCUGGGCCUGGCCACCCCUGCCAGGAGCAGCAGCAGUGGCAGCAGCCGUGCCUGGCGGGAUGCCCUUAUAAGAGCAAACUCGAGCUCCCAGUCAUAAACGAAACCCUUCUCUUUCAUUUACUCAUCUGACCUGGCAGUGCUGGGACUGAUAAUGCUGGUUUCCUUUUAAGCAGAGGCCAGUCAUAAA